CAGUGUCGGAAAAGUAGCGAACGCGGAACAGAGCGAACCUAACCUAACCUCCGUGACAGAUGACAGAAAAUUGUCAACAAAUAACAAAUACCAAGCGUCAUGUUAUGGUCCUCUCUAAAUUAUACAAUAUCGCAUUGAAUUGCAUAUGAUAUAUUACGGUCUGAAGAGCAUCGACAAUUUGUCCCGCAAGAAGCCUGAAAGAAUAUCUGAAGAAUAUCUUUUUACCCGUUCAAUGUUGCCGAGAAGCCCAACGCGGCAGGCGGCUAAAACUAUCGCUGGUUAUUUGUCGCACGGGGUACCAGCAGAAAGGUAAACAAUUAAAGGUUUUUCCGUGUAUAACAAGAUCGUCGAAUUUAAUGUACAUACAUACAACAUACAACUAUAAUGGUCAAAACUGCCAAAUGCGGAUGACAUUCGUGACCGACCACUUAUUUUAGGCUACGAGUUCACUGGAAUCUAUAGCAAGUGGUACAGCUGUCAUCUAUCUGUUAAGCUUAUUUGAUGCUCCGGUGUUUAAGCAGUGCUUAGAUGAAAAUAUGUAAAGAUUAAAAGGACCUUAGAGCGAGAAGUGCGAUCCUGCGACGCAUUGAUUAUUCGGACAAAUUAUGACAGGUGACAGAGGGGAAGAACCUAGGCUUUGAGAUUAUUCAGGUCUGCCAAGCCGUCAAGCCUAAUAUCCAUGUAUAUAGGACAUAUAGAGCAUAAAAUUCUUGGAAAUUACUAGACAGUCUGUCGAAAGAACCCUGCAAACUUUAGGCGGAGAACCAGAUAAAGCAAUGACCGAAAUUUACUGGAAAUACUCUGGAAUAACUCCCAGGCAAAGAGAGACGACAAGGCAGAGGAAAAUAGUAACAGUUAGAAAAGAGAGAUAAGUAACCAAAUAAAGGACAUCUAUUUUACAAAUGCGCUAAACCGCAAAGCGGUUGCAAUUUUUUCUUGUGGGUAUCUGAUAGCGCCGAACCUGAAGAUAACGCAGCGAACGAGCAUUCAAGUUGGAAGUAUCUAAUCUGAACAGAAACAAUGAUGGUUCUGGUCCCUUCUCUCACAUUGGCACUUCUAAUUACGAUUGGGGAAAUCCAUCCACAAAUGAUGUUAUAUGCCAGUGUAAUUAGCCCGCUCAAAAGCUGAUGGUUUAUAAGGACGCUGGACGACCCCAAUAAAGGACGGCAGUUUUACAGGUGUCCCAAAGAUAUAAACUCCACCUGUAAGUUCUUCAAGUGGGUAGAUAAGGAUGACGCUGGUAGUCGCGAGAACACGGACUGGAACAAUUCCACUGCGAAAGGAAGAGGGAAUACAGCACGAAACAGAAUCUCUCAAAAAGGCAAUGCUCCCAAGAGGCUCAGACUUACCGGGGGCAAGAGAAAGUGCGGAAAUUGCGGAAGAGAAGAUAAGGUCACACGAAGAACAGAUGCCCAUCAAAUGGACGAACAAGAUUUUUACAGUAUUGUAAAUAAUGUACAGUUUGUAACGAUUAAAGUUGUAAAAAACUCAAUUAGAACGGAACAGUAUCAAACACGACUUUUAUCUGUAAGACUGGACUUUUGCCUCAUUGAAGUGACAAUUUUCAUAAGUGUUGAGAUGUUUAAAGGAAAUGGUUUGAUAAUCAAUUAAUGUUGUUUUAUAGUUACUGCUUAUGUCUUAGACGCGAUUAACAAUGUUUAAUAAAUUAAACGACAUUAUUGUUCUGCUAUAAUA